CUGCAACUCACCUGGGGGGUUUCCUGUGCUGUAAGUGCUGUGCUAAACUGUAAUACAUUUCUCCAUCCAAUGUAUUUUUUUGUAAGGUCAGGAUGGUAUACAAGUUCCGUCAUAGGGAAAUAAACAUACUGAUCGGCUCUUCAGCGUACUUAACACGGAAGCUCAGAGAAAUACGACUUUAUAAAAUUUAAUUUGAAAACUGAAAUGCUAUGACUAAGAAUCUCUGCGGUUAAUAAACAGUUCCAGGAUUGGAGCUGAGGGUGAAUGGUCUCAGAGCCGCGCUGCAGUACCGCACUGAAUCCGGAAGGUGGCGCAGUUCAACACAGCCGGCGGUGGGGCGGGCGCAUGCAAAUCUACCGCGGCGCUGAGCCAAUCAGCUUCCACCGGGCGCGGAGCGGGGACAGACGGGAGCACAGCGGUCCGGUCUCCGAGCUCCGUCUGGAGCGCGAACGGAAAAAGAGAGAAGAGACAGCAUGGAGUCUACGGGGAAAGGCCGUCCAGAGCUGUUGGUCCCGAUACUGCUUCCAGCUCUGACUUCUAGGAGAGGACUCGAGAAGCCAAGGUGGCAAUGUGUGAUAAAUGGAAGUUGCAAGAAAAGGCACACAACAUACAGAUAAGCUCACCUACCUUCCUGCUCAGAAUUUCUCAGUACAAGACAUCAUAUUUCAGAAUUCUGCUACUAGCAUGCAGGAAGGAACGCUGUGAGCUCGGCACUGAGCUCCUGUAGUCAGAACAGCUUGAAGGCAUAGCUUGCUUUCCCAGCAUUUUGAGCACUUCUCCCAAAAGUUCUGGUUUUCACAGAAGCACAGAAUUUUGAGAUGCUUUCUAAAAUAUAGAUAAAUAAGAGAUAUAUAAAUAUGUACUUUACACAUACACUGUAAAAAAUAAAGCAUUUUCUUAAGAAAACCAUGCUUCCCUUUUUUUAGUUUUUUUGCAUUCAAACUGUGAGGAUGGAAAACAAGGUCGCUGACAUUCAGUGAUUUCCCUCUGCCUUCAAGUUCCCCAUACAACGUUAGAAAAAAGCCAGGGACCAUUCUGGUACCAUUGCCUUCUUUGGGGAAGGGUUCAGAAGUGUGGGCCAGAUUUUCACACUGAUUACAGGAACUUCAUGGCUACCAUAGGAGAAGAGACUAAAUCCAUAAAUAAGUGAAUGGAGAGCACAGGGUCUGGUGACACAGAUUCCCCUGGGGACAAAGGAAAGAUAAUUACCGUUCUCUCCCAGUCCAGUGAGAACAUGUAAAAGAACCAGCAAAGUGUCACGUCCUCUGCUAUCCCCAUGUGUAGACCGGACCAGAGAAGUGUAGAAAGGAAGAAUAUGCUACAUACAAAUAAUCUUUUUAAGUGCUAGGCUACAGUGCUGCAGCAAGCUGUGACUGGUUUCUCUCACAGCAAAACCAACAGGGGAAUGAAAGUAUCUGAAUAAGAGAUCCCUUCUAAAAACACAGUUUCUCUUGUACCGUUGGAUUGACAUCACUACCAGGAAUUAAAAUAAUCAAUUGGGGGGGGAAAAGGGGGAGGGAAACACUUGAAAUUGUGUCCAGCUGCUCUUAAGAUAUCUGCAUUCCUUGUUUAUUUCUUUGUUUUAUAUCCUUUAGAUCUCUAGCUUAGAAAAACAACAGAAAGUAGUCGUACAAUAAUGCCUUGUAGCCUAUGGCAUAUUCCAUUUCAGGAUCCUAACAAAAGGUCGGUAAGCAUAGAAGAAUAGUUUCAGUCUAAGUUUAGUUCAGUCUGGAAGAGCUUUUCAGUUCCCUAUGGCAAAAUGGAGCAAAUUAAUUUGAAAAAGAAAGAGUAACAAAACAAAGAGUGCUUGAGGGACCUAGAAAGGCAGGCAGCAAGAUCCUUCAGUCAGCCAGUCUGGCAAUUAACUCAUCUACAAAAAAAAGACUUCUGCGGGUUUCCUAGUAACUAACAGACCCUGCAGUGAGGUCUCCAAGUCUGCAGGGUAUGGCAGGUAAGCUCCAGGCAUUUCAUGGGGCAUUUCAACCCACAGUCAUCACAGGCUUUCUCUGGGCCUUCUGUGAUCACUACUGCCUUAGCAGGGAGCAGCAAGGGCUGUGUGCUGGUACAUCAGCUGCUCCAGUUUGUAGCCCAGCAUAUAAUUCCAAAUGUAGCUUUGUCAGCAGUUUGCACUAAGAAACUUCUCUGAGACUGGAGUACAUAUUCCUUCUGGUCGGCUCCUCUAGUACCAUUAUAACCUUUCCAAGUACCAGAACAGUCUUGCCCAGAGGGCUGGAACUUUUGCUUUGUUUCAAGGCUGAAACAGACCACAGACAAUGGAAUAUUUCUUUUUUUCUAAAACAUGCAACUAAAGUUCACUGCUUUCUUUUACUGCUUUCUUCGAGUCAACAGCAACAACAACAAAAAAUAAUAAUAGAAAAAAAAUCAACAGAUCUUACUGGAAGCACGUCCACAGGUUUUGUUUGUUUGUUUGUUUGUUUGUUUUCGUGGCUACUAAGCAUUGAUGCCAGAAAGUUGCUGGAAAUUAAAUGUGUUAAUGUCAUAAUUAAUGCUAAGAACUGCAUUUUGACAGUUUUUAGUCUGAAGAACUCUUUUUCUCUGGUGUUUAAGGAGUCUGCUAAUGAUCUAACUUAUGCUUUAGGAAGGAUGUGCAAGCCACAGAUUGCAAGAGCACUACCCUGCUUAGUCUAGGGUGAGAAUACAGAUUAUUAUUUAGAUGGUAGAGAGGAAGGAUCAUCUCCCCUGACGUGCUAGUGAUGCUCUUCUGUUAGGGUGCUGUUGGACACCUUAGCUUCAAGGGAGCUGUUGCUGUUCUAUGACUAAUUUGUUGUCCACCAGGACCUGAAGUCAUUCUCAGCAGGGCUACCUUCCAUCUGGUUGCUCCCCAGCUUCUCCUGGUGCAUGUGUUCCACCCCAGAUGAAGGACUUUGCAUUUCCCUUUGUUGAACUUUAGGAGAUUCUGAUGGCCCAUUCACACAGCCUGCCCAAGUCUCUCUAGAAACAGACCUACAGUUACAAGCCAGGCCUAAGAAACUGACAGACUUUCUUCUUCUAGAUAGAAUAGGGUUAAGAAAGUUGAUGGAAGUGUGUAUGGGGUAAGUAGAGAAAAACUGGUUGUUCAUGUUCAUGACACUCCUUAUUCUGAACAUUUAAAGCCUUAGUUGUGCUGUUCUAAGCAUUGCUUUUUGAUUAUGUAAUGCUUAGGGGGUUGUUUCUGUUUUUGGACUGAGUAGACAAAAACUUUACACUGUUUGAAAAGCCAGAAAGGGCCAUAAGAGCAAUGCUCAUAUAAAAAUGCAGUCUGUGAUUUUUUUUUUCCUAGAAAAUUGUAAAUAACUGUAGCAGUAUCUGUUCUGCCUUUGCACAGCUAUGCAUAAAAAGCUCACUGGGACCACUCACAUCAUUUUCAGUCAUUACCAUGCCCAGUGGCAGAGAGUAACUGAAACGUGCAUGCUUUGUAACAUCUUCAAACUUAGGCAUCUGUAAACUGAAAUUCCCUUUCAGAAAGCUGGUACAUGAUGAAAACGUGGUUGUUGGAAUGUCUCUGACAGCUUUAAAGUAAUCUAAAGGCUCAUAUAACAGAUUAAAAAGAUUCCUUUUGUGUUUGAACAAAUACAGAUAAUGUUGAGAAGCAUUUUCCUGACUGCUCUAGAAUGCAAUAAGCAAGAGAGCAACAGGUAAUAGUGCUGAAGGACAGUGAAGAGAGGAAGAUCAGCUACCAAGCAAGCCAUAAGAUGUGAGUGUCAGAUUACAGAAUCACAGAAUGGCCUGUGUUGGAAGGGACCUCAAGGAUCAUGAA